CGGGAGGGCCUUUCCCCAUUACAAGUCGAACGCAUCCUUCGGGAUGAGUGGCAGACGGGUGAGUAACGCGUGGGCAACGUGCCCUUCAGUUCGGAAUAACCCAGGGAAACUUGGGCUAAUACCGGAUACGCCCUUACGGGGAAAGAUUUAUCGCUGAAGGAUCGGCCCGCGUCUGAUUAGCUAGUUGGUGGGGUAAUGGCCCACCAAGGCGACGAUCAGUAGCUGGUCUGAGAGGAUGAUCAGCCACACUGGGACUGAGACACGGCCCAGACUCCUACGGGAGGCAGCAGUGGGGAAUAUUGGACAAUGGGCGCAAGCCUGAUCCAGCCAUGCCGCGUGAGUGAUGACGGCCUUAGGGUUGUAAACCUCUUUCAGCAGGGACGAAGCGCAAGUGACGGUACCUGCAGAAGAAGCGCCGGC
rnacentral:rRNA from 1 species